rnacentral:rRNA from 1 species
CCUACGGGAGACAGCAGUGAGGAAUAUUGGUCAAUGGACGAGAGUCUGAACCAGCCAAGUAGCGUGAAGGAUGACUGCCCUAUGGGUUGUAAACUUCUUUUAUAUGGGAAUAAAAUGUUCCACGUGUGGGAUUUUGUAUGUACCAUAUGAAUAAGGAUCGGCUAACUCCGUGCCAGCAGCCGCGGUAAUACGGAGGAUCCGAGCGUUAUCCGGAUUUAUUGGGUGUAAAGGGAGCGUAGGUGGAUUGUUAAGUCAGUUGUGAAAGUUUGCGGCUCAACCGUAAAAUUGCAGUUGAAACUGGCAGUCUUGAGUACAGUAGAGGUGGGCGGAAUUCGUGGUGUAGCGGUGAAAUGCUUAGAUAUCACGAAGAACUCCGAUUGCGAAGGCAGUUCACUGGACUGCAACUGACACUGAGGCUCGAAAGUGUGGGUAUCAAACAGGAUUAGAUACCCUAGUAGUC